AUGAUGCACAAGACUUCGUCGCUGUCGGAGCUGGGCUUCGACGCCGGCGACGCCUCGUCGGGCUUCUUCCGCGCGGUGGCCGACGGCUGCCCGCUGACACCCACCUCCUCCUCCGCCCCGCACCGCCGCCUCACCAAGGUCUCCGUCAUCGGCGCGGGCAACGUGGGCAUGGCCAUCGCGCAGACCAUCCUCACGCAGAACCUGGCGGACGAGAUCGCGCUCGUCGACGCCCUCCCCGACAAGCUCCGCGGCGAGGCGCUCGACCUGCAGCACGCCGCGGCCUUCCUCCCGCGCGUGCGCAUCGUCUCCGGAACCGACGCCGCCGUCACCAAGAACUCGGACCUCGUCGUCGUCACGGCCGGCGCCAGGCAGAUCGCCGGGGAGACGAGGCUCAACUUGCUGCAGAGGAACGUGGCGCUGUACCGGAAGAUCGUGCCGCCCGUGGCCGAGCACUCCCCGGACGCGCUGCUGCUCGUCGUGUCGAACCCCGUCGACGUCCUCACCUACGUGGCCUGGAAGCUGUCGGGGUUCCCGGCCAGCCGCGUCAUCGGCUCCGGCACCAACCUCGACUCCUCCAGGUUCAGGUUCCUCGUCGCCGAGCACCUCGACGUCAGCGCGCAGGACGUGCAGGCGUACAUGGUGGGUGAGCACGGCGACAGCUCGGUGGCGAUCUGGUCGAGCAUCAGCGUGGGCGGCAUGCCGGCGCUCAAGUCGCUGCGGGACAGCCACCGGAGCUUCGACGAGGCGGCGCUGGAGGGCAUCCGGCGGGCCGUGGUAGGGGGUGCCUACGAGGUGAUCGGCCUCAAGGGCUACACCUCCUGGGCCAUCGGCUACUCCGUGGCCAGCCUCGCGGCGUCCCUGCUCCGCGACCAGCGCCGGGUGCACCCGGUCUCCGUGCUCGCGGCGGGCUUCCACGGCAUCUCCGACGGCCACGAGGUGUUCCUCAGCCUGCCGGCCCGGCUCGGCCGCGCAGGCGUCCUCGGUGUCGCCGAGAUGGACCUCACCGAGGCAGAGGCCGCGCAGCUCCGCCGCUCCGCAAAGACGCUCUGGGAGAACUGCCAGCUACUUGGCCUCUGA
rnacentral:rRNA from 1 species